rnacentral:rRNA from 1 species
CAGAACGUCGUGAGACAGUUCGGUCCCUAUCCGUCGUGGGCGUAGGAAAUUUGAGAGGAGCUGUCCUUAGUACGAGAGGACCGGGAUGGACAUACCUCUGGUGUACCAGUUGUCGUGCCAACGGCAUAGCUGGGUAGCUAUGUAUGGACGGGAUAAGUGCUGAAAGCAUCUAAGCAUGAAGCCCCCCUCGAGAUGAGAUUUCCCAACUUCGGUUAUAAGAUCCCUCAAAGAUGAUGAGGUGAAUAGGUUCGAGGUGGAAGCGUAGCGAUACGUGGAGCUGACGAAUACUAAUCGAUCGAAGACUUAAUCAAU